UACGGGGGGGGCAAGCGUUGUUCGGAAUUACUGGGCGUAAAGGGCGCGUAGGCGGCCAUUCAAGUGACGGGUGAAAGCCCUCGGCUUAACCGAGGAACUGCCUGUCAGACUGGAUGGCUUGAGACCGGGAGAGGUGAGUGGAAUUCCCGGUGUAGUGGUGAAAUGCGUAGAUAUCGGGAGGAACACCAGUGGCGAAGGCGACUACCUGGCCCAUUCUUGACGCUGAGGCGCGAAAGCUAGGGGAGCGAACGGG
rnacentral:rRNA from 1 species